rnacentral:tRNA from 1 species
GAGAGGUGGCUGAGUGGUUUAAGGCACACGCCUGGAAAGCGUGCGUACCCUAACAGGUAUCGAGGGUUCGAAUCCCUCCCUCUCC